rnacentral:sRNA from 1 species
GCUGAGUGUGGUGGUGCAUGCCUGUAAUCCCAGAAACUUGGGAGGCUGAGGCAGGAGGGUUUCAAAUUCAAAGCCAGCCUCAGCAACCUAGUGAGAUCCUAAGCAACUUAGUGAAACCCUGUCUCAA